CCCCAGCUCAGGACGAACGCUGGCGGCGUGCCUAAUACAUGCAAGUCGAACGAACUCUGGUAUUGAUUGGUGCUUGCAUCAUGAUUUACAUUUGAGUGAGUGGCGAACUGGUGAGUAACACGUGGGAAACCUGCCCAGAAGCGGGGGAUAACACCUGGAAACAGAUGCUAAUACCGCAUAACAACUUGGACCGCAUGGUCCGAGUUUGAAAGAUGGCUUCGGCUAUCACUUUUGGAUGGUCCCGCGGCGUAUUAGCUAGAUGGUGGGGUAACGGCUCACCAUGGCAAUGAUACGUAGCCGACCUGAGAGGGUAAUCGGCCACAUUGGGACUGAGACACGGCCCAAACUCCUACGGGAGGCAGCAGUAGGGAAUCUUCCACAAUGGACGAAAGUCUGAUGGAGCAACGCCGCGUGAGUGAAGAAGGGUUUCGGCUCGUAAAACUCUGUUGUUAAAGAAGAACAUAUCUGAGAGUAACUGUUCAGGUAUUGACGGUAUUUAACCAGAAAGCCACGGCUAACUACGUGCCAGCAGCCGCGGUAAUACGUAGGUGGCAAGCGUUGUCCGGAUUUAUUGGGCGUAAAGCGAGCGCAGGCGGUUUUUUAAGUCUGAUGUGAAAGCCUUCGGCUCAACCGAAGAAGUGCAUCGGAAACUGGGAAACUUGAGUGCAGAAGAGGACAGUGGAACUCCAUGUGUAGCGGUGAAAUGCGUAGAUAUAUGGAAGAACACCAGUGGCGAAGGCGGCUGUCUGGUCUGUAACUGACGCUGAGGCUCGAAAGUAUGGGUAGCAAACAGGAUUAGAUACCCUGGUAGUCCAUACCGUAAACGAUGAAUGCUAAGUGUUGGAGGGUUUCCGCCCUUCAGUGCUGCAGCUAACGCAUUAAGCAUUCCGCCUGGGGAGUACGGCCGCAAGGCUGAAACUCAAAGGAAUUGACGGGGGCCCGCACAAGCGGUGGAGCAUGUGGUUUAAUUCGAAGCUACGCGAAGAACCUUACCAGGUCUUGACAUACUAUGCAAAUCUAAGAGAUUAGACGUUCCCUUCGGGGACAUGGAUACAGGUGGUGCAUGGUUGUCGUCAGCUCGUGUCGUGAGAUGUUGGGUUAAGUCCCGCAACGAGCGCAACCCUUAUUAUCAGUUGCCAGCAUUAAGUUGGGCACUCUGGUGAGACUGCCGGUGACAAACCGGAGGAAGGUGGGGAUGACGUCAAAUCAUCAUGCCCCUUAUGACCUGGGCUACACACGUGCUACAAUGGAUGGUACAACGAGUUGCGAACUCGCGAGAGUAAGCUAAUCUCUUAAAGCCAUUCUCAGUUCGGAUUGUAGGCUGCAACUCGCCUACAUGAAGUCGGAAUCGCUAGUAAUCGCGGAUCAGCAUGCCGCGGUGAAUACGUUCCCGGGCCUUGUACACACCGCCCGUCACACCAUGAGAGUUUGUAACACCCAAAGUCGGUGGGGUAACCUUUUAGGAACCAGCCGCCUAAGGUGGGACAGAUGAUUAGGGUGAAGUC
rnacentral:rRNA from 2 species